AGGAAGUAGAAGCAAUGAAAAUCAGCUGGAGGAGUUUACAACGAACAGACAAGGUAUAAAAGGCAGCAUGGAGAACAAAGGAGUCUUAUCAAACCAGACUGAGGAAGCCACAAGACGGCGAAAUGCGUUUCUGGACUGCUAGUAAUAGACUCUACUACAUGAUUUGGUAUUUAAGCCCUUAAGGACCAAACUUCUGGAAUAAAAG